CCUACGGGUGGCAGCAGUGGGGAAUAUUGGGCAAUGGGCGCAAGCCUGACCCAGCAACGCCGCGUGAAGGAAGAAGGCUUUCGGGUUGUAAACUUCUUUUGACAGGGAAGAGUAGAAGACGGUACCUGUCGAAUAAGCCACGUCUAACUACGUGCCAGCAGCCGCGGUUAUACGUAGGUUGCACGCGUUGUCCGGAUUUACUGGGUGUAAAGGGCGUGUAGCCGGGUUGACAAGUCAGAUGUGAAAUCCUGCGGCUUAACCGCAGAACUGCAUUUGACACUGUUGAUCGUGAGUACUGGAGAGGAAGAUGGAAUUCAUGGUGUAGCGGUGAAAUGCGGAGAUAGUAGGAGGAACACCGGUGGCGAAGGCGGGCUGCUGGAAAGCAACGGACGGUGAGGCGCGAAAGCGUGGGGAGCAAACAGGAUUAGAUACCCCUGUAGUC
rnacentral:rRNA from 1 species